UUCACCUAAGUGUGGUACUCAGUUUGCUUUAUCGUUACUGAAUGUUAAAAGACGUGGAGAAGUACAGUCGAAACGAUCUAUUUAAAACCAGGAUAUGAGGACCUCUGCUAUGGGCUCCAGCUCUCUGGAGCCAGAAGAGGACGGUGGGAACCUGUUCCUAACUCAGGAUGCAACUAGCGUCUCAGUCAGAGCCCAGUCUGCUAUGAGCGGGCCAUUUUAAUUGUCUACUUUCCAAUUAACUGCAACACCCAUCCAGCACUGGCAUGAACCAGCACGGCUGUUAUGAUGCCUGCCAUGAGGAACAAUUUUCUUUUUAAAGUGUGAGAUUACAUGGCACAGUUUCUUUUCUUGGCACAUAACCCCGUUUCUGUACUACUAUGAACAUCGAGUCAUUCUUUCGAAAAUCCAUAAAGAAGAAACUCCUAAAUGUAAAUACG
rnacentral:lncRNA from 1 species